rnacentral:lncRNA from 1 species
GGUCCUCCAGGAGAAGUUUGGCAUUGUGAAGGGCACCAUGACCACCACCCACUCAUACACCGGUGACCAGCGCCUGCUGGACGCGUCGCACCGCGAUCUCCGCCGCGCUCGCGCUGCCGCCCUGAACAUCGUGCCCACCACCACCGGCGCUGCCAAGGCCGUGGCCCUGGUCCUGCCCCAGCUGAAGGGCAAGCUGAACGGCAUUGCUCUGCGUGUGCCGACCCCCACCGUCUCCGUCGUCGACCUGGUCGUGCAGGUGCGAAUUUGCAUCACUGUUUGCAGGCUAGUACGAUUUGGAUUUGGGAAUCAGCGACUUCAGCACACUUCAUAUCAUUGACCCAACUCCGGAUUUCUUCCCCUUACGCUGUGGUCUCUGCAUCCCUGUCAUGUCCAACCCCUCAGGUUGAGAAGAAGACCUUCGCCGAGGAGGUCAACGCCGCCUUCCGCGAGGCCGCUGCCGGCCCCAUGAAGGGUGUCCUCCACGUCGAGGACGCCCCUCUGGUGUCCAUCGACUUCAAGUGCACUGACCAGUCGACCUCCAUCGACUCGUCCUUGACUAUGGUCAUGGGCGACGACAUGGUCAAGGUCGUUGCCUGGUACGACAACGAGUGGGGCUACAGCCAGCGUGUCGUCGACCUGGCUGAGGUCACCGCCCAGAAGUGGGUGGCUUAAGGAGGAGGUUGCUUGAAUCUUUUCGGCCUUGCUGCUUUGGGAGUGCUCGCCGAUGAUCAACGUU